GAGCCACUGAGAGUAACAGCACAGCAUAGGCUCAGUGACCCCUCCCCAAGGAGGAGUCCUUCAGUAAAGCCCUAACUCUAUGACAGAGGUGACAUUGAUCUGCCUGACUUGGUCCUGUCUGUGUGUCCCUGUAAGAUACACCUCUGAGGUAGCUAAGUGUUCCUUACUUCUGGGUUGUAUAUUCAACAAGGAACAGCUUGUGGUUUCUCAGUCUCAUUUCGAUUUUCUGCCACAAGCAACUAAAUUACAGACCUCCUUUGUGGGCUGACUGAAGUCAGCAUGGUGCCUGUAAAGUCCAGAGACAGCUCAAAUCCCCUGGAACUGUAGUCACAGACAGCUGUGAGCCACUGAGUGGGUGCUGGGAUUAGAGUCUGGAUCCUCUACACAAGCAGUACUGUCUGUUUGUGGGGUGAGAGUUGGGCAGGAUCUCUCAACCACCUGGAACUCACCAAGUAGGCUAAGCUGACUAGCCAGCCUCAAGGAUCCACCAGCUCCCGCCUCCUGCCCAGUGCAGGAUUAGUCUGAUGCUGUCUGUCGACCUGCUAUAUGGUUCCACGGAUUCACCUGUGCCGAUUAUCUGGAGUCAUAUGCUGUGUGUGUGUGUGUGUGUGUGUGUGUGUGUGUGUGUGUGUGUGUUCAUUUCUAAAAUGUAGAAUAACAUUUUUGGUUUUGACUUAGUAUUCUGCAAACUUGCUGGACUUG